UACGUAGGGCGCAAGCGUUGUCCGGAAUUAUUGGGCGUAAAGAGCUCGUAGGCGGCUUGUCACGUCGGAUGUGAAAGCCCGGGGCUUAACCCCGGGUCUGCAUUCGAUACGGGCAGGCUAGAGUUCGGUAGGGGAGAUCGGAAUUCCUGGUGUAGCGGUGAAAUGCGCAGAUAUCAGGAGGAACACCGGUGGCGAAGGCGGAUCUCUGGGCCGAAACUGACGCUGAGGAGCGAAAGCGUGGGGAGCAAACAGG
rnacentral:rRNA from 1 species